CCGCCGAGUCAGAAAGACGUGGCCAAUGUCGACUCCUUGGACAACAGUGGAGUACAGCAACAUAUCCAGGGGCAAAGUGAAGAAAUGUCCAGUCCUUUGCAAGACGCCACGCAAAUCGGCAAACCCUGCGACGAAUCCAAGUUGAAAUCCCCUUAGGAGGCGUUCGACGGUCAGCAUUCACAAUAUUAAAUACUAAAUAAAUGUGCAGUAAAUAACAAAUGCAGAACGCUUUAUACUUUUACACUUAAAAUUAAAUUUCAGCUUAAAUCCAUACCGUCACAGCAGUGUAAUUCGCCUGCCAAUUGUAUGUUGUUGUGGUGUUGGGUUCAUUACUUGAUUCGGCUUGAGAUAUUACUUUAUUAGCUUCGAAUAUUACUUUAGCCAGCUUCAAAAUGGGACAGAUAGACAAAUGGAAAAGUAAUUUUUUCAUAUUACACUGUUUAAUUUAAAUAUACCAUAACAUAGCUGUUUUAAACGUUAAAUUUCUUAAUCAUUUUAGCUGUUGAUUUUAUCUUUUUAAUCGCUUCAUCUUCUUUUCCAACGGACAGUGAUCAGCGACUAACUCCUUGGCAAUCAAAUAGUCAACAAACGGUCGUAAUCUCCCUUUGAGUUAACACAUGCAAAAACGAUGCACACAAUUGAAAUUUCCGAGUUAUUGAAAUUGUUAUCUCAAUUGCGACAACCGAAGGCAAUAAUGCCAUGGUUUAUACGCAAAACGGAACGCAAAGGGACUGAGUGAGAAAAUGUUUGGCAGAUUACAUCAAAAAGAAAAAUCAGCAAUAAAAAUUUAAAAAAAUUUGAAUUUUACAACGACAAACCCUAAUGCUGAAUUAAGCAAUAAAAUCAAGCACCGCUUGCGAAA